rnacentral:lncRNA from 1 species
AACAAGUGAAUUAUUGUUUUAGUAAAAUUUCGAUGUCAACCACGGCCAAAGUCUUGUGUUCCACUGAGCUGUUUUCAUUUUUAAAGUCGAACCAUUGACGGACUAAGAAAUGACAAUUGAUACCACAUGAAUUUUACGGAUUGACUCAGCUAUCGUAAACGAACAUUGUUGGAAAUAAGAAAGCGUGUAUAUUUGAGAACUAUUGAGAAUGAAAUAUGUAAUAAAUAAAUCAUUACAUAGGAUUGAUAAUAGAAACUAUGAUAGCGCAAUUGAUAAUUCGUGAUUUGUAUUAUUCUAGAUGAAAAAUGUUCGUUAUUGUAUUUAAAAAUAUCGAUAAUACAUGUAUUUACUGCAUUUA